ACUUGUGGCCAUAUCACCCUGAACAUGCUUGAUCUCGUCUGAUCUCGGUGGCUGAGCAGGGUUGGGGCUGGUUAGUACUUGGAUGGGAGACCAUCUGGGAAUGCCAGGUGCUGUAAGCU
ensembl:rRNA 5S_rRNA 5S ribosomal RNA